CCACUUAAAGAAGAGGGAAGAAGGAUUCUGGAAGAAGACGAAGGAAAGGCCGUUGGCUUGUGACUUUCAUACAGAAUAGGCAGUAUUCCAAAUCGGUGGGAAGGGCAAAAGCAAACAGUUAUUCCACACAGGCUGGACCGUACCAUUCGAUGACAAAAGAAACAAUUCUUGGUCCAGUUUUUUCUUCCUGUGUAUUGCUUCAAGAAGAAAAAUGGAAUUUGUAGCUACUAAGUCCUUUAUAACACCAUUAAAAGGAUUCUUGAUAUUGCCACCAGCAACGCAAGAGAAGAAAAUGAGACUUAUAGAUAGCAAACUAGAUGACAAACCACGGUUGUAUAUCAUUGGUAGCAUGAAAAAAGUAAGCCAGAAAAUCACUCAUUUAGAACUGGGUCUGAAAGGAGAUGAUACCAGCGACUUAGUCACUGAGGAAAUGGGUCCAAAGAAACAGAAAAGUCCCCAAAGGGGGGUUAAAAUACCCAAGGAAAAAGAAAGAGAUCAGAAGAUAAUACAGAAGCCUGGCAAGCCUGAUUCAGAGAUCUCAGAGACUGAGAUUUUGGAAACUCCAGGCAAAAUAGCUGCAAAAAAGAUGGUUACAGAAAAGGAUAAACUAGUGGAGCUGUAUAAAUAUCCAGGAUACAGUAAGGAUGAACUGACACCACUGCCAAAUGGAAUACAGCUAGAAGAUAUUUUGGAAAAGGUGAUAGGUGCCCAGAAAAAAACAUUGAUUGGAAAGACACGCUGGGCUGUGAAGAUGCUGCGCNAGUUUCUUAAUGCCCCAUGCACCCAAGCUAUUUUAUUAGACAGUU
rnacentral:lncRNA from 1 species